AAUUUCAUGGUCAUAACAGCCUCGGAACGGAUUCUACCAAAACCGAAAACACAAGGCUCCCUGCUCAGCAGCCUUGUGAUGCCAGGAGAGGCCAAUGCCCCCUCCUCUGCCAUUGUCUAGCUUAAGAAGGCAGUCUCUGGGCGACAUUCUUCUCAAGCAGGUACUGGUCUCUUUGGCUGCUGGUUGAGUGAAAUGGAUGUACCUCUGGUCCAGAACUUUUUCAUUUGCUGUCUCCUCAAACACAUCCCGUGUUCCUCUCUCUCCAUAAGGUAAUGAUUCCAGUUUCACCUUGAUGAUUUUAUCCAAAGUGGAAACUGUCUCUGUAUCUCCCAAACUUGCUUUAGAAUUCACUCUGUUCCAUGUAUUUAUUUAUUUAUUUUUAUAUUUUGCUCACCUAAAUUACACUUUUUAAAAAUAUAUAUAUAUAAACUUACCCAUUACCCUAAAGUAGAAUGGAACAACUAUAAGGGCAGAAUUCUGUUUUGUCCAAUUAUAUGUUGCUAAUAUUUAGGACAGAUGCUGGCACAUAGUAGGCAUUCAAUUUAUGUUUUGUUUUCUGAGUAUUUUGAGAACAAUACAUGAUACUUCCUUACCAUAAAUUAAAUGUCAUAAUUCAUUAUCAUUUGACUCAAGGAGAAGGAAGGGAUGUGUGUGUGCAAGGGAGGGGGAGUUCGUGGCUUGCAGCCCUGCCCAGCCUCCAGGUUGAACUCAGUUCUUCCUGAUCACCAGAGUGGGCUCCAUCAUCCCUUCUCAAUCAAGCCUGUGUGCCUGAACACAUCUUUUUCUAGUACUGAGACUAUUUUAUCAUUCUGUCAAACACCAUUUAAAUUACAAAACAAGACUGUAUUUCUUUAACUCUGACCUUACAAGACUCUCAGUUUUAUAACUGUUUAGAGAAAAUGUGGAAAGGUUGACUGUGUCUGCUGGCCCUGGUCAUUUUAUUACUCAUCUCUAUAAAGAGGUUUAAAAGCACAUAUUAAAAAGUUUCCAUCUCUUUUGUCUCUUACUUUUCUUCUCAUCUUCCUUUCUUGGGUUUCAAAGGGGCCAAAGCAAGGCCCUGUGAGUCUGGAGGAAAUGCAUGAGACAAAGCUGGGCCAGAGCUAGCCUCAGUCCUCAGGUCCUGACUUCAGAGUUACUGUCCAAAUGACUGCCCUGUGUAGGAGCCAGCACAUGAGUGCUUGUCAUCGCCAAGCCCUCCAGCUGCUGUUCUGCCCAGCUGUCUCGUGUGGCCCUUUGCUUUUUUCUAUUUUCCCAGAUCUCUUUCCUCACAUCCAGCUAGAGUGAGGCUAAGAUGGAGGUCUAGAUUCUGAGAACAUGUGGUGCUGAGGGAAUGCCUCUGGGUGAGGGGUGGAGAACUGGGAUGGCAGGUAGCUUUCCAGAAAACCUGAUAUUCUAAGAAUGACAUCACCCAUUUCCGGUACCGAGGCAAGGGCUGACCUUGAGGAAUGUUUAAAUGUGUUUUUAGACAUAGAGGUCUUUUUGAGGGCUCCAUGUUGGAUAGCAUUUGCCCUCAGCUGCAUCCCCAAAUGAGAGAGUCUAUAAACAUUUACGUCACCUGUUGGGGACCUCAGAACUGCCAAGUUUUGUACUCUCCUGAGUCCCCCAGAGUAUUGCAUGUUUGUGGCAUCUAAACUCUUCAUCAUCUUGUGUCUUGACUAUUUAGCAUUCGUUAGAGACAAAUGUAUGUUAGAAAUUUAGUAGAGAUUUCUGUGCAAUUUUGUUAGGCACGGGCUGACUUGUUUGGUGUUCCUAAAUAUAGCCAGCAAACGUGCUAAAAUGCAAACUGCUUUAUUAUGACCCAGGCCUCACAGGGUCUCUAUCAGGACUACUUAAAAAAUAUGCCUGUCACCUCUGUCCCUUUAUAUACAUCUAUUUAGGAACCUUCUACCAAUUUGUCCUUUAUAACUUGUUCUACCAUGAUUCAAGAGAAGCAACAGUAAUGACAUGCUUAGAAUCAGAAAAUUGUAGCGUGUUUGAGCUCCAGAGGAUGUUGGAGAAUGCCAAUCACUUAUCCUCCAGAAGGGGAAAGUGGGGUGAAGAGGGGUGGUGACUCAUUCAAGUUCCACAUUGAUUUUCUGGCAGGGUUAAACAUUUGAAGCUGCUUUUCCUAAUCUCCCGUGAGUGUUCUUGUCAUCAGAGAGAGUGAAAAUGAAAAUUACCACAAACCCAGGAGCAAGAGCAGCCACCAGAACAACAAUGAUGACAAACUCAACAAAGUAUACUGUGUGGGUGGGAAAACCAAGCACAAAGUAUAUCUGAGAUUUCCAUUGCAUGAGACAGAAUGACCCAUUUCAUAUGUUGGCAUUGUGUUUCUUUAAAAUGCUUCUGGUCAUGUGUGUGAAUGUGUGCAUGUGGUCCCAUGUCCGUGCCACAGUGCCUGUGUGGCAGUCAGAGGACAACUUUGUAGAGUUAGUUCUCUCCUUCCAUGUGUGAUCUUAGGAUAGAUGUCAGGUAGAAACCACCACCUGCCUACAAAAGGAAAGUGAGAGUAUUUUGGUUUGCUUCUCUGGAUGUUAUUGUUGCUGUUGUGUUUUGAGUGUUUAUAUCACAGGUGUCUCUGUGUCCUGACAGAGAUGUUAGCUUACUGACUGACUCGGUAGUGGUGUUACCCAUUGCAUUAGACGGGUUAAGAACAGAGCAAGGUUCACCAGUACUGCAAAAAUGUACAGACAUGUCAUCUUGACAGCGGGUUGUUGCUUUUUAUACUAGAAGAGGAGGGCUACUAGCUGGCAGAAAGCCAAGCCAAGGAAGUUAAAAAGAGUACAGUGGCUUUUCAAGACACACAACCUUCAUUAAGUCACAAAUUUGGCAUAUAUGUAGC
rnacentral:lncRNA from 1 species